UAAAUACUAAUACCAGAUCGAUAGUGCACAAGUACCGUGAGGGAAAGGUGAAAAGAACUGAGGUGAUCAGAGUGAAAUAGAACCUGAAACCAUUUGCUUACAAUCAUUCAGAGCCCUAUGUAGCAAUACAGGGUGAUGGACUGCCUUUUGCAUAAUGAGCCUGCGAGUUGUGGUGUCUGGCAAGGUUAAGCAAACGCGAAGCCGUAGCGAAAGCGAGUCUGAAUAGGGCGCUUAGUCAGAUGCUGCAGACCCGAAACGAAGUGAUCUAUCCAUGAGCAAGUUGAAGCUAGUGUAAGAACUAGUGGAGGACUGAACCCAUAGGCGUUGAAAAGCCCCGGGAUGACUUGUGGAUAGGGGUGAAAGGCCAAUCAAACUUCGUGAUAGCUGGUUCUCUCCGAAAUAUAUUUAGGUAUAGCGUUGUGUCGUAAUAUAAGGGGGUAGAGCACUGAAUGGGCUAGGGCAUACACCAAUGUACCAAACCCUAUCAAACUCCGAAUACCUUAUAUGUAAUCACAGCAGUCAGGCGGCGAGUGAUAAAAUCCGUCGUCAAGAGGGAAACAACCCAGACUACCAGCUAAGGUCCCUAAAUCUUACUUAAGUGGAAAACGAUGUGAAGUUACUUAAACAACCAGGAGGUUGGCUUAGAAGCAGCCAUCCUUUAAAGAAAGCGUAAUAGCUCACUGGUCUAGUGAUUUUGCGCGGAAAAUAUAACGGGGCUAAAGUAAGUACCGAAGCUGUAGACUUGCACACAACUUAGAUUAUUUAAGUUUAGAAUAUGAGAAACUAAGUUAUAUGUUUAGUUAUAUUUUUACUGAUUUUUAUAGAGUAAAGAUAGAAAUAAAACUUAGUAAAAUCAGUAAAAAUAUUCUUAGACUAAAGUUAAGUAGUUUAAGUUGUGUGCAAGUGGUAGGAGAGCGUUCUAUUUGCGUCGAAGGUAUACCGGUAAGGAGUGCUGGAGCGAAUAGAAGUGAGCAUGCAGGCAUGAGUAGCGAUAAUUAAUGUGAGAAUCAUUAACGCCGUAAACCCAAGGUUUCCUACGCGAUGCUCGUCAUCGUAGGGUUAGUCGGGUCCUAAGUCGAGUCCGAAAGGGGUAGACGAUGGCAAAUUGGUUAAUAUUCCAAUACCAACAUUAGUGUGCGAUGGAAGGACGCUUAGGGCUAAGGGGGCUAGCGGAUGGAAGUGCU
rnacentral:rRNA from 1 species